UACGUAGGAAGCGAGCGUUAUCCGGAUUUAUUGGGCGUAAAGCGGGCGUAGGUGGCUUUUCAAGUCCGAUGUGAAAUCUCCUGGCUUAACUGGGAGGGUGCAUCGGAUACUGUUGAGCUGGAGUGCAGCAGAGGAAGAUGGAAUUCCCGGUGUAGUGGUGAAAUGCGUAGAUAUCGGGAGGAACACUAGUGGCGAAGGCGGUCUUCUGGGCUGUAACUGACACUGAGGUCCGAAGGCGUGGGGAGCAAACAGG
rnacentral:rRNA from 1 species